AGAGUUUGAUCCUGGCUCAGGACGAACGCUGGCGGCGCGCCUAACACAUGCAAGUCGAACGAGCGAGAGAGAGCUUGCUUUCUCGAGCGAGUGGCGAACGGGUGAGUAACGCGUGAGGAACCUGCCUCAAAGAGGGGGACAACAGUUGGAAACGACUGCUAAUACCGCAUAAGCCCACGGGUCGGCAUCGACCAGAGGGAAAAGGAGCAAUCCGCUUUGAGAUGGCCUCGCGUCCGAUUAGCUAGUUGGUGAGGUAACGGCCCACCAAGGCGACGAUCGGUAGCCGGACUGAGAGGUUGAACGGCCACAUUGGGACUGAGACACGGCCCAGACUCCUACGGGAGGCAGCAGUGGGGAAUAUUGCACAAUGGGGGAAACCCUGAUGCAGCGACGCCGCGUGGAGGAAGAAGGUCUUCGGAUUGUAAACUCCUGUUGUUGAGGAAGAUAAUGACGGUACUCAACAAGGAAGUGACGGCUAACUACGUGCCAGCAGCCGCGGUAAAACGUAGGUCACAAGCGUUGUCCGGAAUUACUGGGUGUAAAGGGAGCGCAGGCGGGAAGACAAGUUGGAAGUGAAAUCCAUGGGCUCAACCCAUGAACUGCUUUCAAAACUGUUUUUCUUGAGUAGUGCAGAGGUAGGCGGAAUUCCCGGUGUAGCGGUGGAAUGCGUAGAUAUCGGGAGGAACACCAGUGGCGAAGGCGGCCUACUGGGCACCAACUGACGCUGAGGCUCGAAAGUGUGGGUAGCAAACAGGAUUAGAUACCCUGGUAGUCCACACCGUAAACGAUGAUUACUAGGUGUUGGAGGAUUGACCCCUUCAGUGCCGCAGUUAACACAAUAAGUAAUCCACCUGGGGAGUACGACCGCAAGGUUGAAACUCAAAGGAAUUGACGGGGGCCCGCACAAGCAGUGGA
rnacentral:rRNA from 1 species